UACGUAGGGUGCAAGCGUUGUCCGGAAUUAUUGGGCGUAAAGAGCUCGUAGGCGGUCUGUUGCGUCGGCUGUGAAAACCCGGGGCUCAACUCCGGGCAUGCAGCCGAUACGGGCAGACUAGAGUUCGGCAGGGGAGACUGGAAUUCCUGGUGUAGCGGUGAAAUGCGCAGAUAUCAGGAGGAACACCGGUGGCGAAGGCGGGUCUCUGGGCCGAUACUGACGCUGAGGAGCGAAAGCGUGGGGAGCGAACAGG
rnacentral:rRNA from 1 species